rnacentral:pre_miRNA from 1 species
AUAAGUACUCCCUCUGUUCCUAAAUACUCCCUCCGUCCCAAAAAUUUUGGCUUAGAUUUGUCUAAAUACGUAUGUAUCAAGUCAUGUUUUAGUAUUAGAUACAUCCGUAUCUAGACUAAUCUAAGACAAGAAUUUUGGGACGGAGGGAGUAUAAGUCUUUUUAGAGAUUCCACUACAAACUACAUACGGAUGUAUAUAGACAUAUUUUAGAGUGUAGAUUCACUCAUUUUACUUCGUAUGUAGUCCAUAGUGGAAUCUCUAAGAAGGCAUAUAUUUAGGAACAGAGGGUGUACCA